CGAUAGGAGUCUGGUCCUAUUGUGUUAGACUUCGGGACCAGAGUAAUGAUUAAGAGGGACUGUCGGGGGCAUUCGUAUUUCAUUGUCAGAGGUGAAAUUAUUGGAUUUAUGAAAGAGGAACCACUGCAAAAGCAUUUUCCAAGGAUGUUUUCAUUAAUCAAGAACAAAAGUUGGGGGCUCGAAGACGAUCAUAUACCAUCCUAGUCUCAACCAUAAACAAUGCCAACAAGGGAUCAAUGGAUGUUUCUCUAAGGACUCCGCCAACACCUUAUGAGAAAUCAGAGUGUUUGGGUUCCGGGGGGAGUAUGGUCGCAAGGAUGAAACUUAAAGGAAUUGAUAGAAGGGCACCACUAGGAGUGGAUCCUGUGGCUUAAUUUGACUCAACAUGGGAAAACUUAUCAGGUCCAGACAUAGUAAGGAUUGAUAGAUUGAGAGCUCAUUUUUGAUUAUAUGGGUGGUAGUGCAUGGUCGUUCUUAGUUGGUGGAGCGAUUUGUUUGGUUAAUUCCGAUAAUGAAUGAGACCUUGACCUGCUAACUAGCUACGUGGAGGUUCCCCUUCACGGCCAACUUUUUAGAGGGACUAUGGUCGUUUAGGUCAUGGAAGUUUGAGGCAAUGAUAGGUAUGUGAUGCCCUUAGAUGUUCUCAGCCGCAUGUGCGCUACACUGAUGCAGUCAAUGAGUUUUUCUCCCUAGUUCUAGAGGAUCAGGAAAUUAUUGCAGCAUGAUGGGGAUAGGCCAUUGAAAUUAGUGGUCUUCAAUGAGGAAUUUCUAGUAAGCGUGUUUCAUCAUCUCAUGUUGACUACAUCCAUGCCCUUUGUACACACCUCUCGUCGCUCCUACCGAUUGAAUGAUCCAGUGAAGUGUUUGGAUCACGUCAAUGAGGGUGGUUCGCCGCCGAGGAUGUCGUGAGAAGUUCACUGAAGCUUAUCAUUUAGAGGAAGGAUAAGUUGUAACAAGGUUACCAUAGGUGAACCUUCCAAAAAUUUAUGU
rnacentral:ncRNA from 1 species